rnacentral:lncRNA from 1 species
GAAACUACCUACACCCAUACGGAAGGGAACAAAUCAUGGUAAACCACAAGCACUAGUAGCACUUACGAUAGUUGCUGAAGAUCCUCCUUAGCUCCCAGCCUUCUGUUCUGUUCCAAGUCAGCCUGCCUCCUGAUGCUAGAUGUUCUUCCUUCUCCCUGACCUUUAUAAGAGAUCGUGGAAUUGAGGGCUGCGCUGGAGCCUACCUCUGCUUUUAUGGAACACACUGAAUCUACUAAAAUCAGUGUUUUCUCACUAAAAGCAAGAUCUCAAUUAUGUAAAUAGUACAGGAUUUCAAAAAUCUCAUUCACUGGUGAUUUCAGGUAGUUGGAUCUAGGAUACUGAGGGAGACAGAGCAUG